CUUACUGCUUCAGAGAAGCGCCAUCAUCACCUUUGAGAUGGAGUCUUAGAAGGCUUUCUUCCAGCCAGUUGUAAGCAGCUCUGUAUUCAGUGACAUCAUAUUGGCGGCUCAAAUUACCCAUGGCUGGCAAAUGCUACAAAUCAGUAUCUACAGAGGAGGAAGGCCCACUAGAAGGAUGUUGGAAUGGAGACCUAGUACCCAACAGAGG